GUAGGGGGCAAGCGUUAUCCGGAUUCAUUGGGCGUAAAGCGCGCGCAGGCGGGUUGCUAAGCGGGACCUCUAAUCUCAGGGCUCAACCUUGAGCCGGGUCCCGAACUGGCAGCCUCGGGUUCGGUAGGGGAGAUCGGAAUUCCCGGUGUAGCGGUGGAAUGCGCAGAUAUCGGGAAGAACACCGAUGGCGAAGGCAGAUCUCUGGGCCGCAACCGACGCUGAGGCGCGAAAGCUAGGGGAGCGAA
rnacentral:rRNA from 1 species